rnacentral:lncRNA from 1 species
CAAUUCAGGAGGAGGGAUGUAGUAAAACAUAACACGUAUGUUGCGUUAGAUGGUAUAACAGUGCCAGACUUUGUCAAUGAAGUACAAAAAGUUAGGACCCAAUACUUUGAUACAAAACCUCCCAACAGGAGAAAAUGUGGUGAUAUAGCUAGAACCUAUUUUACAAACAUGUGACCUGCUAGUUGCUGAUGAUAUUAGGUGGCAGGUGGUGUGAGAGACUUGAAGAAUAACAAUUUUAGAGAACUGAGAGCUUAAGUUAGACAAAAAAACUAAACUAAAGUUGAACUAAAGUUAGACAAGCUAAGAGAUGGAUGGAUGAUGAUAAUAUAAUUUGUGCUCGAGAUGACAAGAGCUGGUUAAUGGUAUUGCUGAAGAAGGAUAUGUAUGAGGACUUUAUCUCUAACUUCCUGGAGGACAGUAAAAGCCUCUUGUUAGACUAUGAUCCAAUGGACUUAAUAGAUAAAGAUGUCCGUAGACUUAUAAGAAAAUCAGGAAUGCCAAUGUUCUUAAAAAAACUCAUGGGUUUGGUCACUCAAGCCACCGAAACUUUUUUGCAUUCAUCAAGAGGAAUAAAAAUCCUAUAAAGGCACGACUGGUGAUUGAAAAAAAAACUACAACACCAACUUAUCUGUUGGAGAAAAGACUAGCAAAAUGGUGCUAUAAUAAGCUUAGGAAUUAUGAGUUUACCACAGUGUCAUCAAAGAAUCUGAUUGAUAAUCUUUUAGAGGUAGGGCCAUUGCCCGAACAAGUGAUGCAAAUUUAUGAUUUCAAAGUGAUAUAUUCGUCAGACUGGAACUGGCAUGCUUAUUUCUAUACAAGUUCUUAUCAGAAAAUUUACCAAAGGACCAAUGCAACUCAACGAUACUUAGAGACCUCUGCCAUUUGAUUGUAC